rnacentral:rRNA from 1 species
ACCCUUCGGGGUUAGUGGCGGACGGGUGAGUAACACGUGGGAACGUGCCUUUAGGUUCGGAAUAGCUCCUGGAAACGGGUGGUAAUGCCGAAUGUGCCCUUCGGGGGAAAGAUUUAUCGCCUUUAGAGCGGCCCGCGUCUGAUUAGCUAGUUGGUGAGGUAAUGGCUCACCAAGGCGACGAUCAGUAGCUGGUCUGAGAGGAUGGCCAGCCACAUUGGGACUGAGACACGGCCCAAACUCCUACGGGAGGCAGCAGUGGGGAAUCUUGCGCAAUGGGCGAAAGCCUGACGCAGCCAUGCCGCGUGAAUGAUGAAGGUCUUAGGAUUGUAAAAUUCUUUCACCGGGGACGAUAAUGACGGUACCCGGAGAAGAAGCCCCGGCUAACUUCGUGCCAGCAGCCGCGGUAAUACGAAGGGGGCUAGCGUUGCUCGGAAUUACUGGGCGUAAAGGGCGCGUAGGCGGACAUUUAAGUCAGGGGUGAAAUCCCAGAGCUCAACUCUGGAACUGCCUUUGAUACUGGGUGUCUUGAGUGUGAGAGAGGUAUGUGGAACUCCGAGUGUAGAGGUGAAAUUCGUAGAUAUUCGGAAGAACACCAGUG